AAGAAAUUUUAAAAAAUGGCCUCCUCUUCUCCACUGAAGGCCAUCCUUCACUACUUUUCCAGAAUCUGGAUUUAAGCAAGUACCUUUGACUCAUGAGCCUGACAUCAAAUGAGCCCAGUUGAAUUUAUAAUGGGAAGCAUCACAGAAAAAACCCGAGCCCAGAACAAGGAAGCAGCAGCUGAAGAUGCACCUACUCACCUCUUUGGAUCACAUUCCUCCAAGGGCAGAGCACUUCAUCUCGCCCUUCCAUCAACCCUCGGGAUUUGCUCCAUCCUUCCAAAAGGCUUCCCUGUCUGAUGGUGCUACAAUAAUCCGCAACAGCUUCAGAGCCAGAAUUUUGCCACUGUUUUAGAUGCUGUUGGUUUAAACUGCCUGUCCCUUUUCCUCCUUACGUGGGAUGUGUUUGUUUUGCUGUGUGGGACCUGCCCCCGUCCACCCGGCCUGCAGCCCAGCAGUGCUUGGGGACCGAAGACCUGCUGUCUCCAGGAGCAGGGCAGUUGCUAGGAAGGAAAACGAGUCACCAGGCGACUCGGAUGGUUACUAAGCACCGUGCAUCACUGCAAGCCCUCGGAAACGCUAACAGAGGCUCUUUCAGAGUGCUGCCUUUGAUGUGGUGCUUUGGCGACUUCAGAAACGAAUGCAGGAACAGUGCAAGGGGAGGCCUCUGGCACUUCUGUUUUUCAGCUACACUGCAACCUUCUGCUUUUUUAGGGGGAAGUCAAAGGGUUUAGAAAGUAUUUAAUUUCUAUUACUGCAACAAAUGCCUGAAGCUGUUCUUUUAGAAACAUGAUUCGUUUGCGCUCCUGGGAGGCAUUAACAUUGCUUGAAGCCAAGGAUUUCUUUUUCACAUCUGUUUGAGGAAGGAUGAAGUGACCUCCAGAAGAAGGGCUGAUCUUCUUACCUCUAAUUCUGAAUGCAAAGGAGACUUUGGCUCACAGGAGCUGAAGGGCACACAUAACGCCCCUGUCCCUAUUUGACCCGUGGCAGCUCUCUGGGGAAGAGGCUUGGGCUGAGAGGGCCAAAAGAAGAGCCAGAUCUUGGACUGGAACCACCCAGGCCCACCCUGGGCUGAGAGGGAGACCUAUCCCAAAGUCACCCAGGGAGCUUCUAGCACUGAGGACUAGAACCUGGCUCUCCCUGCUCCUAGCCCAGCACCCUCAGCAUUAACCACAUGGGUUUUCCCAAAGGAACCGUCCACCUCUGCCCAUUGCUGUUUGAGUCCUUCCUUGAAGGGGCAGUGGAAGAAGCAAGAAGAGUCUGCAGCUCAGGAAAAAUGCUCUGGAGAAUCUGGGAUCCCAUCCAGCCUUUGCUAGGCAGGCAUUGUCCAGGCCCCCAGACCCCUCUGCCCCCCACCAGGUAAGGCCUUGGUUUCUGUGGCCACAGCUCCCCCAUCAUCUCCCAUCUGUCCUGAAGGACCAUUCGUUAGUGCCUACCUCCUUCUUUCCUGCUGGCUUCCAUAGCGCUUCCUCCCUGGGCUGGGGGGAGAGCCCAGAUGAUACUCGGGUAGGUAGGACCAACAUCUCACUUCCACCUGGAUCUCACCAUCAUCUUCUGCAUCCCUCUCCAUGGAAAAGGUACAGGCUGAAAAAGAGAAAGCAAGGCUAAGCGGUGAAGUUGGGCUUUACAGGGGCAAGGGAAGAAAUGGUUCCUAAGAUAACUUUAGGAAAGAAAGGGGCAUCAGUUUCCACAGAAAGGAAUGUGGAAUACUUGUGGCUCCAGACUGAAUAGCCCUGCCUGAUUCAGACUCUUCGCUUGCUCAUUAAACAACCUAGAUGGAAUCUGGACUCAUAAGACUCAGAAGUCACCUGAAUGGCUGCAUGACUUUCUCUCAGUUGCCACAAUUGGCAGGGGACUCUGGCACGAAGGGCCUUCACUUCAGGUCCCAGUUACAGAAAAGGUUAAGGGUCCUGGCCUGUUUCAGCUGGCUGUCUUUCCUUGGGAACAAAUCUCCUGCGUGCCUACAGCACAGCUUCUUCGAAAGACAACAGCAGCUUCCAGUUUCAUUUCCUCAUGAAUCUUCCUGGAUAAUCGGGGCUCCAUCUUGACCUAUUUUGUGGCUGGAUUGGGUUGUUGUAAGAAUAGGAUGAGGGGAAGCAAACCACUAUCAGUGGGUCUCUGCCGUUGGGACAUUUGCCUCAGGUGGAACUCAGUAAAGUACUCUGACAGAUAUAACAUCAGUAUGUUUGUAAAUUGAAACACUAUUCUGGGAGGAAGUGGACUUUUUGUUUCAACCAUGAGGUCCUUCGAUAGAGUGGCAGGAGGUAAGAUGCAAGAUUGAGAACAUUGGUGUACUGGUGUGCCUCAGACAAAGGCUGAGCUAUUUCAGGGGCGCGUUUCAAAACCCGUUGCUACCAGUUCGCUCGUGGGUUAUAUGUACAAUGCACUAAAUAAAAAUUAGGACCAAUUUGUACAACUGAGAUUCAGAAUCUGAGAUUCAGGCAAUUCAGGACCUGUGGAAGCCUCCUUUGACUAGGCUCCCAAUCAUUACUUCAUGUAAUUAGUUGUAGAUUCUUUUAAUUAAAAAGGGGAAAUAAAUGGAAAGAUAAUGUUCUGGAGAGCAUAGCAUCAUCUUUUUAUCCCAGGGCUCCACAGGUUCUUUGUGGAGAUCUUCUGGCUAUUUAUGGAACCUAAAAAUGUUGAGUGAGUAUGAGAGCUUGCUUGAAAAUGUAUUUACAGUCUAGAAAAAAGAAAGAAGUAAAAGUAAGCUGAGGUAAUUGAGGCCAUUUGGUAUCCAGAAAGUUGCUGGAAAGCUUGAUUUCCACUGCAGAGGGAACUUGCUCUUUCAUAGGUAGUGCUCCUCCAUCCAGAGAAGCACCAACAAAGAGCCCAGAUGUUGAAACAGCAACUUCAUCUUCAUCUUUUCAUCAAUGUGGUGAUGCGUGGUGCGACCGUGGUGCGACCGGAACAAUCUGGAACUGAACACACUCAAAACCGUAGAAAUGGUGGUAGACUUUAGGAGAAACCCUUCCAUACUUCCACCUCUCACAAUACUAGAUAACACAGUAUCAACAGUAGAGACCUUUCUGCACCAACUCAGGAAGCUCAAACUGCCCAAGGAGCUGCUGAUCCAGUUCUACAGAGGAAUUAUUGAGUCUGUCAUCUGCACCUCUAUAACUGUCUGGUUUGGCUCUGCAACCCAACAAAACAGACACAGACUUCAGAGGAUAAUUAGAACUGCAGAAAAAACAAUGGCUACCAACCUGCCUUCCAUUGAGGACCUGUAUACAGCACGAGUCAAAAAUAGGGCUGUGAAAAUAUCUACAGACCCCUCACAUCCUGGACAUAAACUGUUUCAACUCCUACCCUCAAAACGACGCUAUAGAGCACUGCACACCAGAACAACUAGACACAAGAACAGUUUUUUCCUGAACGCCAUCACUCUGCUAAAUAAAUAAUUUCCACAACACUGUCAAACUAUUUACUAAGUCUUACUUAGACUUAGUAGAUUUACUUAAUCUUCCCAUCGUUCACACCGCCCAUCUCCUCCCACUUAGGACUGUAUGACUGUAACUUUGUUGCUUGUAUCCUUACAAUUUAUAUUGUUUCCUGAUUGUUUAUUGCUCCCUAUGACUAUCAUUAAGUGUUGUACCUUAUGAUUCUUGACAAAUGUAUCUUUUCUUUUAGGUACUCCGAGAGCAUAUGCACCAAGAUAAAUUCCUUGCGUGUCCAAUCACACUUGGCCAAUAAAAGAAAAUUCUAUUCUAUUCUAUUCUAUUCUAUUCUAUUCUAUUCUAUUCUAUUCUAUUCUAUUCUAUUCUAUGUAAAUAAACCUGGUGAGCCAUAAGGAAGAUAUUGUUGCAGGCUCAUCAGUAGGGAACAUUCCUGACUCUCAAAGGCUGGCUAGAACUGCAGAUGCUCCCUGCUGGAUGCUCCCGCAAUGCCCAGCAAGAAUCCUGGGAAGCAGUUAAAUUGGAGAUUAUUUCACAGGCGCACAAGCAGCCAAGCAUCAAGUUGGUGCCAAAUGGGAAAUCUUCACGAAGAUCAUAAACUGCUGUCUCUGGUUGCUCCAGGAUUGCCCUUUUCCAGGGCCAUAAUUGGCUGUAGUUGUUUUGGCACUCAGACCCCAUGCUCAGCUGGGUCAUCUUAGGAUGUAGCAUGUUGUGCAGACAAGACAGCACAAAGGGCACAGGCAGGGCCAAGAGCACAGAUUAACCCCAUCCACAGUUAGGAGCCCAGGAUGAACCAGACUGCCUUGUUCACUGAGAAACCAGAUCCGAUCAAUUGGCAAGUAGUAUCCAACCCCCAAAUGGUCAGUCAGCUCUCCAAGAAAAAUGGAUGGAGCCAUACAAAGCCAACAGAAUUACAAAUUUGGAAGGGACCUUGGAGGUCUCCUAAUCUGCACAAGCAGGAGACCCUAUCCCACUCCAGACAAGUGGCUGUCCAGUCUCUUCUUAAAAACCUCCAGUGAUGGAGCACCCACAACUUCUGGAGAUAAGCCAUUCCACUGAUUAAUUGUUCUCACUGUCAGGAAGUUUCUCCUUAGUUCUAGGUUGCUUCUGUCCUUGAUUAGUUUCUGUCUGUUGCUUCUUGUUUUGCCUUCCGGUGCUUUGGAGAAUAGGUUCAUCCCUUCAUCUCUGUAGGAGCCCCUCACAACAUUGCUAUCAUGUCGCCCCUAGUCGUUCUUUUCAUUAAACUAGACCUAUCCAAUUCCUGCAACCAUUCUUUGUGCAUUUUAGCUUCCAGCCCCCUAAUCAUCUUUGUUGCUUUUCUCUGUACUCUUUCCAGAGUUUCAACAUCUUUUUUAUAUUGUUGUGACCAAAACUGGAUGCAGUAUUCCAAAUGUGGCCUUACCAAGGCCUUAUAAACCGAUACUAACACUUCAUGUGAUCUUGUUCCGGCACUCACUGCUAAAGCCUGCCAGGUGAAGGGCCCUUGAUCUGAUACCACAAGAGUGAAAUUUGAUUGGCUUUGGACUGAGUGACAUGUGACCCCAGCUAUUGAGAAACCUGUGGCAACUUAAAAGUUAGCCAUUUUAUUAGGAUAUAGAUUUUUUUGGGAGAAGACUCUUCUCAGAUUUGGAGAUGAGGUCCAGGAAAGUGUUGGGGUUGUUUUUUAAAUCCACAGGACCUCCCAGUGCAGGCAGAUUAAUGUGAAUGAUGUAGGAAUAGUAUAGGGUCAGCUAUAUGAACACUGAAGGACCCUCAUUAUUCACAUUAUUAUAAGAAAGAAAUGUGCUUGUUUAGAGAUUACACUAAGUCAGCUAAAUUCCAUUCUUGGUAAUAUAUAUCUUCUGAGGGGCCUAGCUGUCAAGGAUGUAAAGACAUGCAAAGACAUCCAUCUGAAACAAAAAGUUACUCAUUAUCCAAAAGCAGCCAUGAAUCUAUGCAUCAGCAGUCACAGAAUUGAGGAAGGAUGUUUAGCUAAAAUAAUCUUAUGAACUAGAAAAUAAUGAAAGAAUUUAGUAAUUAGAAAGUGUCAAUUAUCAUGUAACAAAAGUAUGUUAACCAUAUAUGGAAAACUGCUGUGCUCGCAAAAUCCUUUGUCUUGCAGAUGUAUAAAAGCAGUUGUAUCAGAGCUCUUCUUGGUCCAGAAUUGCAGAUACAAAUCUGGUUCUGAAACUGCGCAAUAAAACUGUCUCUGGCUGACUCAGGAA